rnacentral:rRNA from 1 species
UACGUAGGGUGCAAGCGUUGUCCGGAAUUAUUGGGCGUAAAGAGCGUGUAGGCGGCUCGGUAAGUCCGCUGUGAAAGCCCAGGGCUCAACCCUGGAAUGCCGGUGGAAACUGUCGAGCUAGAGUCCGGAAGAGGCGAGUGGAAUUCCUGGUGUAGCGGUGAAAUGCGCAGAUAUCAGGAGGAACACCAAUGGCGAAGGCAGCUCGCUGGGACGGAACUGACGCUGAGACGCGAAAGCGUGGGGAGCAAACAGG